GAUGAACGCUGGCGGCGUGCUUAACACGUGCAAGUCGAACGGGAUCCAAGGGGUGCUUGCACUUUUUGGUGAGAGUGGCGAACGGGUGAGUAACACGUGAGUAACCUGUCCUUUUCUUUGGGAUAAGCAUUCGAAAGGGUGUUUAAUACCUUAUGUUCUGUCUGCCUCGCAUGGGGUGGGUGGGAAAGGCUUUGGCCGGAUUUGGGUGGGCUCGCGGUCUAUCAGCUUGUUGGUGGGGUGAUGGCUUACCAAGGCUUUGACGGGUAGCCGGCCUGAGAGGGUGGUCGGUCACAUUGGGACUGAGAUACGGCCCAGACUCCUGCGGGAGGCAGCAGUGGGGGAUAUUGCACAAUGGGCGAAAGCCUGAUGCAGCGACGCCGCGUGGGGGAUGAAGGCCUUCGGGUUGUAAACUUCUUUUGCUCUGAACAAGGCAUGCCAGUGGGUGUGUUGAGUGUAGGGGUUGAUUAGCGCCGGCUAACUACGUG
rnacentral:rRNA from 1 species